UUUGGAUCCACAGUUUACGGGUCAAACCAAAUUCAGCUCCGACUCAAAUUCGGGUAAAUUCAAGUCAAUGUUUUGACACCUGUACAUACCACGUGUCAGUUAUAUUCCUCUUUAUUUUUCCUUUUUUUUUUUUUUUUGGAGCGUUCACUUUUCACGCUGCACGGCACACUCUUCCCUUUCCCCUCUCCCACCUCCAUUGAAGCUUACUCUAAUACUCCAUUAAAGCUACUUCUGAGCUUUCCCUCCUCCAUUGGAGCAGAUUCUGAGAAUGCAGUGUUAGUCUUACUGAAAGACAAUAGACAAGAAAAAGAGAGUGAAGAUUCCUCAGUAAGUGGAGUGUGCUACUGCAAGUUGAUUUUGUGAAAGAACAAUGGUGGAGCGAUUCUUUGAUGGCAGUAGCACCAACUCUGUUACCACUGUUGCUGUACAACCUCAAGGAGGCUGUUGCUUUACAUCUGAUCCAAUUACGCUGCUCACUGGCCCUCCAUCCUGUGGGAAGACAUCACUUCUAUUUCAGUUCGCUUUGAACAUGGCAGCUCACUGUCAGUCCACGUCACAGGGAUACAUUGUCUUUAUCUGCAAUCGUCGCCGUUUUGAAACCAAACCUCCUUUCCUCUCUCAGGGAGUUGAUGCUUCUUCACACAUCUUUCAGCGAAUUCAUAUCAAGUAUAUGGAUGAUUAUGAUGAUGAAGGCAUCAAGAAAUUUUUUGCUGCCUUCCAUCUUCUUCAUCCUUUGCCCCUUGCUGUUAUUAUUGAUGAUUUUGGUGACUUCUUUCUUGAAAGCAAGUGUCAAAUGAAGUAUAAUAAUCCUCGUGGAAGGGACUUAGCCAUGGUUCGAGUUUUAGCCCUUUGUCAUAGUGCAAUCAUCCAUGCCAGUAAAACAACAGCUUGCCAGCUUUUGCUCUCUGAUACGUAUCACGGAGACUUUCCUAGACAAUUCAUCUACAAAAGAUGGAUUUCGUCUAUUUUCACAAUCCAAGGUGAAGGUGAUGGAUGUGGCUCAUUUCUUCUUAAACAUAGUGUGCAAACGCAAGGAAGGAGCAUAGGAAAAAGGAGUGCUAGAUACUCUAUAGCGCUUCAGUACCUGGUUUUGGAGGGAGUCAGGGAAGACACACAGAUUUGAAUGUUUGAUGUAAUAUGUUACUUGCUUCUGGAGAAUCAAUCCAUCACUCCACCAAUUAUAAUGUGAUAUGAAGGUUUUGGUGCGUGUUGAUGUGGUUACCUUUAGCCUGUGAUUUUCAAAACUAGCUGACGUUGAUUGCAAUGCUUGAAGAAGAUGUCGGCCUACAGAAAAUCGAGGCUGCUGUAAUUCAUCUGUUCAGAAGUAAUAGACAGUGGUAUUCAGUACGGAGUAUAUGUUAGCAUAGUAUGUACUCGAGACAUUCUUAGAUAGGGAUGUAAACCAGCAUGGCCAUAUGGGUGUUCCUGCUGUGCAAAACUCGAUUAAUAGAAUACAAGAAGAUUGUGAUGAUUCUAACCUGAGGGAUUUGCCGAAGCUAUAUGAAGUAAAAGCAAAAGAAUCAUGAUUGUGACUGAUGUUGCCGCUGCAAUUCCAGUAGUAGAAGAAUGACAGAAUUUGAUCAUCUCAUGUGAGCUUCUUAUACGCUUCUCGGUUGCCAUCGACAUGAAUUUAAAAACUUAAGAAGUUUAGCUAGAUUUUCAGUAAGCUAGAGAGGAGAACUAUUUAUAUAAUGAUCACGGGUUACCAAUUUGGGUGAAAUGAGGCAAUAUUGACUGAGUCAAUUGAUUGAGACUUUGAAAGUGUAGUUCGUGGAAUUAGUGUCAUUGCCAGCCUGCCAUUUUUUAGUUUAUCCACCGAACUGUGUGUUCGGUACAACGUUCUUCAGAUACUUGAAAAACGACGUAUAUAUAUAGACAUUUCAAACAUGCAUGAGGUAAACACGCUUAAAUGUUUCAUUCAUUAUACCAGUAUUACAAAGUACAGUAUACUUAAAUAAAAAUGUUUUUAAUUAUUUAAAUAGAUAGGAUAUUAUUUUAAAUUUUUAUGUAAGUGAGUAACUAACGCAAAUAAUUGUGUUGAUUUUAGGCUGUUUGAAUUCAUGUUUGGUUAGGUUUUUGUCUUCCUUCUAUAGCUUUAGGUUGGAUAAAGUUAGUUAAUUGACAAAUAGGUAUUUAAUUUUCAUAUUUAUGAUGUAUCUCAUAUCUUUUAUACAAUAACAAAUGGGUUUAGUAUUAUUAA